GUGAGGAAUUUUCCGCAAUGGGCGAAAGCCUGACGGAGCAAUGCCGCGUGAAGGAUGAAGGCCUAUGGGUUGUAAACUUCUUUUCUCAGAAAAGAAUUAUGACGGUAUCUGAGGAAUAAGCAUCGGCUAACUCUGUGCCAGCAGCCGCGGUAAGACAGAGGAUGCAAGCGUUAUCCGGAAUGAUUGGGCGUAAAGCGUCUGUAGGUUGUUUAAAAAGUAUUCUGUCAAAGAUUAGGGCUUAACCCUAGAUUGGCAGAAUAAACUUUUAAGCUAGAGUUUGGGAGGGGCAGAGGGAAUUCCCGGUGGAGCGGUGAAAUGCGUAGGUAUCGGGAGGAACACCAAAGGCGAAGGCACUCUGCUGGGCCAAUACUAACACUGAGAGACGAAAGCGAGGGGAGCAAAUGGGAUUAGAAACCCUAGUAGUCC
rnacentral:rRNA from 1 species